rnacentral:misc_RNA from 1 species
GAAAUGCGAUACGUAGUGUGAAUUGCAGAAUUCAGUGAAUCAUCGAAUCUUUGAACGCACAUUGCGCCCUUUGGUAUUCCAAAGGGCAUGCCUGUUCGAGCGUCAUUUGUACCCUCAAGCUUUGCUUGGUGUUGGGCGUUUUUGUCUUUGGCCCGCCAAAGACUCGCCUUAAAAUGAUUGGCAGCCGGCCUACUGGUUUCGCAGCGCAGCACAUUUUUGCGCUUGCAAUCAGCAAAAGAGGACGGCAAUCCAUUAAGACUCCUUCUCACGUUUGACCUCGGAUCAGGUAGGGAUACCCGCUGAACUUAAGC